rnacentral:rRNA from 1 species
AUUGAACGCUGGCGGCAGGCCUAACACAUGCAAGUCGAACGAGUGGCGGACGGGUGAGUAAUGUCUGGGAAACUGCCUGAUGGAGGGGGAUAACUACUGGAAACGGUAGCUAAUACCGCAUACCAUCGGAUGUGCCCAGUUGGGAUUAGCUGGUUGGUGGGGUAAAGGCUCACCUAGGCGACGAUCCCUCGCGGGUCUGCGAGGAUGACCAGCCACAGUGGAACUGAGACCCGGUCCAGACGCCUACGGGAGGCAGCAGGGGGGAAUAUUGCACAAUGGGCGCAAGCCUGAUGCAGCCAUGCCGCGUGUAUGAAGAAGGCCUUCGGGUUGUAAAGUACUUUCAGCGGGGAGGCGUUACCCGCAGAAGAAGCACCGGCUAACUCCGUGCCAGCCGCCGCGGUAAUAC